AGCGUCUGUCACAGACCAGAGGAACAGGCAUGGAGAUCUGAGGAAAAAGAGCAUGCAGCACUACUGGACCGAAGCUUGAAGAGGGGUCAGACAGAGCGGGGGUAGCGCCACUUCGGACAGCACGGGGUGCCCUGCCUCUCUCACCUGGCCAGACCCACUGGCUCUCUACGGACCCCUGCUGCCCCUGCUACCUGGAUACAGACCAGACAUAGCAGCUUCUUCAACAAGCCAGAGGAGCUUUGGAGGGGAGUUCUGGCGGAGACUGGCGCCGGAGCUCGGAAGGGUCGAGGGAAGAGGACCAAGAGGAAGAUGAAGAAAAAUCUGAACUGAGGCCAGAACAUCGGAGAAGUGGUUGAAGUGCUGUCUACUCCCCUCCUAAUCAGUGCCCCAUCUGUCCCGUCUGUCCUGGUCUCUCUGUAACGACUAUUCUUCAGACAGUCUGUAAGGUAAAAUAAAGUUGCUGCUUUGUUUCAGUUAGGAUUGCAGUGGAGUUUAGAACAAAGCAAUGCUCCUUCCUACCCUCUUUCUCUGUCAGGGCAUCGGGGGGUUCCUGUGGCUGGGGUUGAACGCAGCCCAUCCUGAAGAGUGGGGCCAUACAGAACAUGUCCUGCCGUGUGGAGUCGGAGCAACAGGAACUGCAGGGGGAGCUUCUGCGGCAGCGUGACGAAUGAGAUCGCAGGAGGAAGAUGAGGGUGAAGAGGGAGCGAGGGUGGACUGGCAUCAGUCUGGGGCCCCCUGACCCUGGACCCAACGGAGUUUACCAUGACAUCAACUCCACCUUCAAGAGGACCACCCUACUCAUGAAGAAACAGCACCGAGGGGUGGUAGAGCAUUUUGGGGCGGCAGGAUAGCCUAGUGGUUAGAGCGUUGGACUAGUAACCGAAAGGUUGCAAGUUUGAAUCCCUGAGCAGACAAGGUUACGGACUACACUGUCACCGCGCGGUCAUCACCAUCUGUAAGCUGAUUGGUGUAGAGGACAUGUACGCCAAGGAAGAGGGCUCCGUCAACCUGCUCAACAUCACCAUGGCUCUGUUCACCAGACUGGCCAAUCAGAGACCCAACAGUUUCUGGCUGGUGAGUUUCAGCCGGAGCGCGGGCCCCUGCCCCUCAUCGUGGCCACCCCUAAGAAUGGAGUGCAUCCUGACCACAAACCCGAGGAAGAGACAGGACAUGAAACGCAUGACAGGGCAUGUGACGUUGUCGAAAAUGAGAGCUGUCUAAUAAAAAUGUAAACUCUCCAAAAUGGCUUGUGUUGUGUGCAAUUGCUUUUGAAGGAGCUGUCAGGACAUGUCAUGCUUUGAUGACAGUUAUAGUGAUCAUUUCCUCAGCAGCUGUCCACUGCUCGCUCCGGAGGCUCUUGCUGCUUUAGCUUUUCAGUUCAUUUCCGCCUACAUUCCAGUAUGCAACUACUAACAGUCACCACCUUCCACAAGCAGCAAGAAAACGAAACAAUGCAGCAAGAAAAUAGCAUCAAACAACUCAAGAGCUUUAAACAGUGAAUGACGUUGUAAAGUCAAAGUAUACAUUUCUGCUGUACUUUUCCGUACUCUGACUUUCCAUGUUAUCUCUCCUUGACUCUAUUUUCAGACUCUAAUGGUCCCUUUAGUCAACUUAUGAGUUAUUAACAAUUAUGUGUCCUGUUUACCUCAACUUGGCAACCCCUUGGCAGGGAGUCUCUAGUUUGUAGUCUGAAGAAGCAUUAAUUCAGACAUGAACAGCUCUCCAAAAAGGGAUCCUUCCAAUAGUGCUGUCUGUCUUAAGCCAGACAGGCCAGACAGGCAUUUAUUUCAAUAGUGUUCUCUUAAUAUGGUCUUGAACUUGAUGGUUGAACUAAUGGUAGGAUUCAAACUAAGUAGUUCUUUGAAGACUUUCAGCUGAAUGGUUUGUGCAGUACAGGUGUAAUGUGUUAUGUGACAUCUCCACCACUUGGGGGUGCUAUUAGCACCUGAUAUUCAGGCUUCUUAUAUUGUUAACCCUUAUUAUGGAUAAAAUGUGGA
ensembl:lncRNA